rnacentral:rRNA from 1 species
AUUGAACGCUGGCGGCAUGCUUUACACAUGCAAGUCGAACGGUAACAGGCCGCAAGGUGCUGACGAGUGGCGAACGGGUGAGUAAUGCAUCGGAACGUGCCCAGCCGUGGGGGAUAACGCAGCGAAAGCUGUGCUAAUACCGCAUACGAUCUAUGGAUGAAAGCGGGGGCCCGGAAGGCCUCGCGCGAUUGGAUCGGCCGAUGUCAGAUUAGGUAGUUGGUGGGGUAAAGGCUCACCAAGCCAACGGUCGGUAGCUGGUCGGAGAGGACGACCAGCCAAACUGGGACUGAGACACGGCCCAGACUCCUACGGGAGGCAGCAGUGGGGAAUUUUGGACAAUGGGCGCAAGCCUGAUCCAGCAAUGCCGCGUGCAGGAAGAAGGCCUUCGGGUUGUAAACUGCUUUUGUACGGAACGAAACGGCGAGCUCUAAUACAGUUUGCUAAUGACGGUACCGUAAGAAUAAGCACCGGCUAACUACGUGCCAGCAGCCGCCGUAA